rnacentral:rRNA from 1 species
GUGGGGAAUCUUAGACAAUGGGCGCAAGCCUGAUCUAGCCAUGCCGCGUGAGUGAUGAAGGCCCUAGGGUUGUAAAGCUCUUUCAGCUGGGAAGAUAAUGACGGUACCAGCAGAAGAAGCCCCGGCUAACUCCGUGCCAGCAGCCGCGGUAAUACGGAGGGGGCUAGCGUUGUUCGGAAUUACUGGGCGUAAAGCGCGCGUAGGCGGACUGCAAAGUUGGGGGUGAAAUCCCGGGGCGCAACCUCGGAACUGCCUUCAAAACUAUCAGUCUGGAGUUCGAGAGAGGUGAGUGGAAUUCCGAGUGUAGAGGUGAAAUUCGUAGAUAUUCGGAGGAACACCAGUGGCGAAGGCGGCUCACUGGCUCGAUACUGACGCUGAGGUGCGAAAGCGUGGGGAGCAAACAGGAUUAGAAACCCGAGUAGUCC